CUUUGUUUUAGUCUGGUACAUAAUGCUGUAGUCAAAUAAUUUGCAAAUACAAGUUUUGCUAAAUUCCACCCAUUGUCUCAUGAAAUGAUGAAAACUAUGAUUUAUUGAACAUACUCUUAUGCUAUUGUCUUUUUACUCAUUAGGUCCCUCCUGCGGAGCUAGAGGCCUUGUUGCUUACUCAUACGGAAAUUGCUGAUGCUGCUGUAAUACCGUAAGCAUUCUUCCAUGUUGUAUAUGUUGUAGGGCUUGGAAAUUCUUUCUAUGCAUGUAUAAGGCAUCCUUUUUCCACAAAUGGAACCUCAUUUGUAUUGUGAUUACUGAAAUCCCUACAAAUCAUAUGCUUUGAAUAGCAAUUUACUUUGCUUUG
rnacentral:misc_RNA from 1 species